rnacentral:lncRNA from 1 species
GCGCGUGUGAUUACAUGGAGAUUAGCUGUAUUGUUCGUAAAUUUUCCGUGUUUUUUACAUUUUCUCGCCACAAUUUUUCGUCUUGAAUGAAAUUUUAUGAUAUUACAGUGAUAGUUCUUAAUGUUCAUCGAAAUGUCAGCGCUUGGCAUUCUUAUUAAACGGUAAUAAUAAAGUUAUGUUUUUCAUCACUCUCUUACCUACCGGCAUGCGGCAUUUCCUUCUCCCUUAUCGUCGAUCUUUUAUACGCGUGCGUGUACAGUGGUGUUUACUCAUGUAUCUACAUAAUGUGAAUUUAAAAUCGUGAAUCUUCUGGAAAAAAACCCCAUGGUGUUUCGUUUAGCAUCCGCUGCAACAACUGAUCGAAGGACGAUCGCAGAAGAUCACAGGAGGCUUCCAUGGCAUUCAAGGAAGUUCUGCGCCGUUUAUGCUAUACCCACUCGCAGAGGUGGAGCUGAAUUCGAAAGAUGCCCGUUCUUCACUGCUUCAGCCACAGGAACGUUCAUAUCAGUGUGCAGUUUUGCCGGAGGUAGACGAAUCAAUUUUCAAGGAUUUAAUUAAUGUGAAUUGCUAUGUUGACAAGACAGCGUUCUUGUAUAAAAUGAUUGUCAUGAGAAGACAACGGUUAUGGUUCCUUUCGCGCCCCCGGCGGUUUGGAAAACUCUUUUACUCGACACAAUGGAGUCGUAUUUUAAAGGAGAGAAGGAGCUUUUCGAAGGUAGUGGCAUCGUGAACAUCGGAGCCAUUUCUUGCAACGAACUCCAAAAAGAUUUGUGGUUCUUAUUUUAGCUAUACUCUGAUGAUGGCGGCUAUUGCCAAAAUGCAUAGGUACGUAAUUUAAUAAAUCUGUAAGAUAUUCCAUGCACACUGGCAAAAAAAACACAUUGGACCUAAAGUCCAGACUCUUGAAAACAUUGACAAGAAAAAAUACUCUUGAUUCAAUCAGACUUAAGCUUAAAUGAAAAGGAAAUCCGCUUAAAUUAAGAGGCUUGGUUCUUGAUUUAAGCAAAAAUCCGAUUGAAUCAAGAGUAUUUUUUCUUGUCGAUGUUUUUAAGAGUCUGGACUCUAGAUCCAAAGUGUUUUUUUUCCAUUGCGUCUUGACAUGUAUUCUUUUUGUUAAGUCUUUAUACUUUCCACAGCCUUGUGAAA